rnacentral:rRNA from 1 species
GAUGAACGCUAGCUACAGGCUUAACACAUGCAAGUCGAGGGGCAGCAUGGUCUUAGCUUGCUAAGACUGAUGGCGACCGGCGCACGGGUGAGUAACACGUAUCCAACCUGCCGUCUACUCUUGGACAGCCUUCUGAAAGGAAGAUUAAUACAAGAUGGCAUCAUGAGUCCGCAUGUUCACAUGAUUAAAGGUAUUCCGGUAGACGAUGGGGAUGCGUUCCAUUAGAUAGUAGGCGGGGUAACGGCCCACCUAGUCUUCGAUGGAUAGGGGUUCUGAGAGGAAGGUCCCCCACAUUGGUACUGAGACACGGACCAAACUCCUACGGGAGGCAGCAGUGAGGAAUAUUGGUCAAUGGCCGAGAGGCUGAACCAGCCAAGUCGCGUGAGGGAUGAAGGUUCUAUGGAUCGUAAAACCUCUUCUAUAAGGGAAUAAAGUGCGGGACGUGUCCCGUUUUGUAUGUACCUUAUGAAUAAGGAUCGGCUAACUCCGUGCCAG